rnacentral:lncRNA from 1 species
CCUCUUCAAAAUCUCACAUGUUCAAAUAAAUAAAAUUUGCUUUAACACUUGACAACUAAAGUGUUCCAGUACAAACUUCACAGUAUACAUAAAGAAAAAUUCACCUUAGCAAUAAUUCAAACUAAUCAUAUUUCAAUUAAAAUAAAAUCCUAAUGAACUGCAUAUUAAAUUAUUUAAACAUACCCCCAAGUAACGAUCGCUUAAAAGCUAACAAUGCUUGAUCAUUCUGAUACUUCGUACGAACUGCAUAA